GAGAUCGGAGAUUUUAUCGGAGUAGGAGUCGCUAGCAAAGUGCAGAGAGCCCGGUAUGUGCCCGUCAUAGCUCCUCUCUUCAUCCCUGCGAAUCAAUUUUCCCCAAACAUUACAUCAUCAGGACAAAAGCUGAGCGAUUGCGAGGGUCGUUAGGGUUUUACCUGACGUCGAUAACGGCGAUAUUGGGGUGGCGCCGGAGGGACAAAAGCUGAGCUCCGGUGAUGAAGGAGACGCCGUUGCGAGCCAUCUCCGAGCGAUUGGAAGAUUUGAAGCAGUUUUCGAGGAGAGGAGAGGUUACCCACCAAAAGCACCACAAAUUAUGAAGCGAAUUCAUUGUGUGUUUAACGAGUUCCGAGCCCUGCCUGAAGAUUUGCCAUCUACCUCGUUAACCACAAAGGGAAGGGGAAAAAUCAAAGAUUGAAUUGUGAUGCUGUGGGGACCUGUGAUGUGAAGCUGGGGAUGGGAAGUUGGUCGGGCCUGUAGCAAGAAGAUGCCUUGCCUGCUAAUUUUGUCCUUCCAACUGCAGAAGCUUGCUGUUUAAGUAAGGUUGCCUGCUCCCCAAACAAAAGAAUUGGAGGCUCGUCGACAUAGAAUUUUCACUUGGGAGCUAUCGUGAGUCUCUGCUAUAGUAUUGUGGAACUUUUCACUUGGGAUGGAUUGAGCCAUGUCAUACAGAUAUUAAGAUGCUGAUGAAAGAUCUUCCUGGAGAUAAAGUUAGUUUAAUCAGGGGGAAACAAAUGCUUGCGCUGACCGGAUUGCAGCAUCUCCUUACAGUGUUUCGUGUAUAGUGACCAUAGAAGAGUGAAUUGUCCUGACUGAUAAGUGUGUUGAGUUUCAUUCUUCUGUAAACAACUGCAGUGCAUUCGAUAUUGGAUCACAUGAAUAAAAGAGUUUCCCGUCUAGGCCAAGAAAGAUAAA